rnacentral:rRNA from 1 species
AUUGAACGCUGGCGGCAUGCCUAACACAUGCAAGUCGAACGGCAGCACGGGAGCUUGCUCCUGGUGGCGAGUGGCGGACGGGUGAGUAAUGCAUAGGAAUCUGCCCAGUAGCGGGGGACAACUUGGGGAAACUCAAGCUAAUACCGCAUGCGCCCUACGGGGGAAAGCGGGGGACCUUCGGGCCUCGCACUAUUGGAUGAGCCUAUGUCAGAUUAGCUUGUUGGUGGGGUAACGGCCUACCAAGGCGACGAUCUGUAGCUGGUCUGAGAGGACGAUCAGCCACACUGGGACUGAGACACGGCCCAGACUCCUACGGGAGGCAGCAGUGGGGAAUAUUGCACAAUGGGCGAAAGCCUGAUGCAGCAAUGCCGCGUGUGUGAAGAAGGCCUGCGGGUUGUAAAGCACUUUCAGUGGGAAGAACAGAUUCGGGUCAAUACCCGGAGCCCUCGACGUUACCCACAGAAGAAGCACCGGCUAACUCCGU